AACGAACGCUGGCGGCAUGCCUAACACAUGCAAGUCGAACGAGACCUUCGGGUCUAGUGGCGCACGGGUGCGUAACGCGUGGGAACCUGCCCUUAGGUUCGGAAUAACUCCCCGAAAGGGGUGGUAAUACCGGAUAAUGUCUUCGGACCAAAGAGUGAGCGCCUUUGGAUGGGCCCGCGUUUGAUUAGCUAGUGGGUAGGGUAAAAUCCUACCGAGGCGACGAUCCAUAGCUGGUCUGAGAGGAUGAAAAGACACACUGGGACUGAGACACGGCACACACCUCUACGAGAGGCAGGAGGGGGGAAUAUUGGAAUAGGGGCGAGAGCGUGGGCCCGCUAUGGCGUGGGGGUGAAGGAGGCCUUAGUGGUGAACAGCUCUUUUAGGCGGGGAGAUAAUGACGGUACCGGGGGAAUAAGCGCCGGCUAACUCCGUG
rnacentral:rRNA from 1 species